rnacentral:rRNA from 2 species
UGGGGAAUAUUGCACAAUGGGGGAAACCCUGAUGCAGCAACGCCGCGUGAGGGAAGAAGGUUUUCGGAUUGUAAACCUCUGUCUCCGGUGAAGAUAAUGACGGUAACCGGGGAGGAAGCCACGGCUAACUACGUGCCAGCAGCCGCGGUAAUACGUAGGUGGCAAGCGUUGUCCGGAAUUACUGGGUGUAAAGGGAGCGUAGGCGGGAGAGCAAGUCAGAUGUGAAAUCCACAGGCUUAACCUGUGGCGUGCAUUUGAAACUGUUUUUCUUGAGUGAAGUAGAGGCAGGCGGAAUUCCGAGUGUAGCGGUGAAAUGCGUAGAUAUUCGGAGGAACACCAGUGGCGAAGGCGGCCUGCUGGGCUUUUACUGACGCUGAGGCUCGAAAGCAUGGGGAGCAAACAGG